UACGUAGGGUGCGAGCGUUAAUCGGAAUUACUGGGCGUAAAGCGUGCGCAGGCGGUUCGUUGUGUCCGUCGUGAAAGCCCCGGGCUUAACCCUGGGAACUGCGCUUGUGACUGGCGAGCUGGAGUGUGGCAGAGGGAGGUGGAAUUCCACGUGUAGCAGUGAAAUGCGUAGAGAUCAGGAGGAACACCCAUGCGAAGGCAGCUCUCUGGUCGACCUCUGACGCUGAGACGCGAAAGCGUGGGGAGCGAACGGG
rnacentral:rRNA from 1 species